UGGCCCAUCCAGUUAAUCUCCUGAUAUC
rnacentral:piRNA from 1 species